ensembl:lncRNA
CAAACAUUUAGUGUCAUUCUGCCCCAGCCAUGGGCCCAGAAUCCUCAGCCACCUUACAGCAGUCCCAGCUCAGCAGGAAGUAUCCAGAGAUACCUUGACACUCCUAUUCCCAAAGAACUGGGCCUCCCAUCUCUUGAAGGGAGAAUGUUAGGUAGUUAGAAUAGGAAAAAGGAGUCCAAAAUGAUGGUGGCUAAAAGGCAGAGAAAUGGAAAAGCCCACAAAAAUGGAACAAAAGAAAAUCCAUGGACCAGAGUGAGAACUUCAGGUGAAACAAACAUGUCCCCUUCUUGGCUAGCCCAAUUUGCAUAGGGUAGGCUCAGGAGGGAGGAGACAAAUGGAUAAAACGAGGAAGCCAAGAAGGAUUGAGCCUCUCUCCCUUUGGGUUCAGCACACCCUUGUGCCUCAAUGGGGUACUAUCCUUUGCUUGCUGAAUAAAACGGAACUGUAACUGAUCUGUAACAUUGGUCCGCCAUUUCAAAUCUUUGCUGCGGUGAGACAGACUGAGGAAAUGACACACUCCCCCAACAUAUCUGGUGCCGUGAUUUGUAUUUAACCUGGUUGAAACAACCUCAGCUUGGCCCCAGUGAGGCAGAGACCAAGCACUUGGUGAAAGCAGAGACCAAGUCCAACUUGGUGAAAGCUCACAUGGUGGAAGCCAAACAUGAAGCAAACCCAGUGCAGUGGAAGUGAUGAGAAGCCCGGCAUGCUGGAAACUGGCAUAGCAAAAACAAACUUGGCAGAAAGCUCAUGCAGCUCAGUCUCAGAGUCCAGAAGACUUCUAGUUAAGGAACUUUGGACCACUGGACAAAACCCUGAGGGACUCUCAGAAGAUCCUCUGACCAAUCCUGAGGAAAUCUAGUACACUGAUGGAAGCAGAUUUGUCUUGGAUGGAAAAAGAAGAACUAGAUAUGCAGUCAUCUCCAAUUUCAAGACCAUAGAGGCUAAAUCUUUGUCACCAGGUCAACAAGCUACAACAUGUAGUGCUGGUUCAACGAGGAUAUAUAAAACCACACCCGACCAUGGAAAACAUCACUCACCCUUAGAGGGACUCUGCUAUAUGGACUCUGAGGCUUGAGACUAGCAAGAAGGGGAGGUCCAAUGCCCUUCCCAGGCCCAACACAGCAAGAAGUAGCCAGGGAUACCUCGGUGGCCUAUUCCCAAAGAUUUGGGCCUCCCAUCUCUUGAGGGGGGAAUGUUAGGUAGUUAGAAUAGGAAAAAGGAUUCCAAAAUGUUGGUGGCUAAAAGACAAAGGAAGGGAAAAUCCCAUGAAAAUGGAACAAAAGAAAGUCCGUGGACAAGAGUGAGAAAUUCGGGUGAAACAAACACGUCCCCUUCUUGGCUAGCCCAAUUUGCAUAGGGCAGGCUCAGGAGGGAGGAGACAAAAUAUAUAAAAAGAUAAAGCCAAGACAGAUUGAGGCUCUCUCCCUUUGGAGUCAGCCUGCCCUCACACUUCAAGGCUAUACUAUCCUUUGCUUGCUGAUAAAACUGAGCUGAAACUGAGCUGUAACACUGGUCCACCGUUUCAAAUCUUUGCUGCGGCGAGACAAAACUGAGGAAAUUACACACUCCCCAACACUUUGGACUGAAAUAUAUCUUUUCCCCUGGGGUCUGAUCCCCAGCCUUGGUAAGGGGAACCCAUGCCCAAAUUUGUUCUUCUUUGGGUAUUCUCUCUCAACCAUGUUGCAUCAUGUAAAGUUUUACUAUAUUUUACCUUUUAUCAUGGCUUUUACUCUGUGUUAAUCUUCCUCUGUUUAACCCACUUUGUGGUUUCUAUCUCCUAACUGAACUCAGAGUGCUACACAUAUAAUCUCAAUUGUUCAUCUGGGUAUGAAAUAGUGACUUCUAAGUAGUGUGAAAUGGAAAUUUCUGUGAAAUGAAAUGUUUCCUGCUCUACCAGUAAACAAUCAUGUCACAGCCCCAUCUUGGAUUUCAGCCUUCCAAAUGCAGACUCCUGGGCCCAGGCAAACCAAUACCAGCUAUUUGGUAAGCAGUCAGCUGCUUCUUCCCCGGUAAGUGCUAAAAAGCACUUUAUGUGAGAAGAGCAAGAGGCAGUCACCUGCCACAUCCACCACCCCUUACAGUAAAUGAGGAAUUAGGAUGUGAGCAGUCAAAAAGCAGAAUUUGGCCCCAGCUGAGAUUCAUAUGAAAGAAAUAAUUUCAGUAAGCCCAGAUGCUUGCAUAGAAAAUGCU